rnacentral:rRNA from 1 species
UACGAAGGGGGCUAGCGUUGCUCGGAAUCACUGGGCGUAAAGGGUGCGUAGGCGGGUUUUUAAGUCAGAGGUGAAAUCCUGGAGCUCAACUCCAGAACUGCCUUUGAUACUGAAAGUCUUGAGUAUGGGAGAGGUGAGUGGAACUGCGAGUGUAGAGGUGAAAUUCGUAGAUAUUCGCAAGAACACCAGUGGCGAAGGCGGCUCACUGGCCCAUUACUGACGCUGAGGCACGAAAGCGUGGGGAGCAAACAGGGA